GCGGUUUGCAUUUAAUUCACGGGUAUGUCACUUGGGUAUUUUUAGUGGUAUCUGAGCACCAAUUGUUUCUGAUUUGCAGAAACUCAUCUCACAAUGUUUUACUCCAUCAUCCUAACCAAAAUUGUAUUUGCAGGCGACUUCAGAAUAUAGUGCUGAGCGACAACUUAAUCAUUUACUAUUCCCGAGGAUUUCCCACAGGGUGCCCAAAAAGAAACAGACCCAUCGAAAAGAACUUUAAUAUUGUCAAAUACCAUAGUCCAGUUUAAAUUCUGGAUGUUUUGUUGUAUCCAUCUGGGCCAUGAACUGAACGGCAAGCAUCAAAGAAUCCUUUGCAGAUUGUCAUCUCAUGUAUUUGUUGGAUGCCAGUAAUGAUUAUUGAAAUUCAUUCUUCACCACUGUUCCAAGCUCUUUUACCAGGCCACUCGCUUGCAUCCGUUUUGCUAAAUAUUCUUGCUCUGUUAGGCUAUUUCACUCAAGAUCCUGAAAAACCAAGUUUGAGCAACCUGUCUCAGCUGAAUUCUGUAAUAAGUUGAUGGAUAACUAAUGCCAACAGAACUCGUGAAUAUAGAAAAGAAAAGAUCAAACACAGGGGAACCGAUAAUAUUAAAUUCAUUUAGCACACAGCGCAUUAUCAUUUAUUCAUUUAUUAUACAUAUCUGAUAAUUUUAAAACAGGGAACUUUAAAUGAGAUAGCACCAAAAAGAUUCAAAUUCUGAGGAUAUGACUCGAAUCUCAGAAUCACUCAACCCUUCAUGUAAUGCUCAUAGACCAAUUGCGCUGCAAGCAUAUCGACAAUUGCAGAACCAACAGACUUAAACACAGUAAUCUCUCGAGAAUCCCUCCUUCCAGCUUCAUCCCCUUUGAUCAAUUCCACCAAAUAGCCAACAUCUUUUUUAUCAAUCACUCCUCUCUCAAGAGCUCCGACGAUCUCCCCUGCCUCCACCAAUGCUGCCUCGUUAUCCACAAACACUCUCCCUCUCCUUAUUGCCUCAUCAUCACAUUCCCUCAUUGUCUCCUUGAAAGAUCCUACCAGAUCCAAAUGGGCUCCUGGCUUCAGUUUCUCGCCCUUCACCAAAGGCCUAUCAGCAUUUGUAGCGCAACUCACAAUAUCACCCAAUCCAAUUAUUUCCUCCAAAUUAUCAUUACUCUCAAAACACACCUUUUCAGGGCAUUCUACCCUAAGUUCCUCCACCAAAUCAGCUGCUUUCUUCAUCGUCCUGUUCCAAAUUAUCACUUUCGCCAAACUGGGUUUUGCAGCGAGAUGGGCCUUGAUCAAAUGGGGUGCCAAAGCACCUGCACCAACCAUCACCAGCACUUUGCUAUCAUCCCUAGCUAAGAUUUUUGAUGCCAAGCCAGAUACACAAGCUGUUCUAUAGAGGGUCAACACAGUGCCAUCCAUAGAGGCCAAAGUUUGCCCAGUUGUGGAGCUAAAGAGCACAUAACUUGCAUGAAUUCCGGGCAAGUUUAGCAUGGAGUUACCAGGGAAAUAGGUGAUAAGCUUUAUACCUAUAUAGGGAAGGAAGGGAGAGGAAGACCAAGAGGGCAUAAGAAGGAGAGAGGAUGAUGGUGAAACGGCAUAGCUUUGGCGAAUCGGAGUAUGGAGUGUGGGAGAGACGGUGGGUAGAGAGGUGUAGAAAUGUUGAAUUAAGGAGCGGUGUGAGAGAACGGAGUGUAGAAAUUCGGUGGUGAUGAAAAUAGGGGAUGUGACGGAGGUGUGACUAAUGGGAUUGUUGACUUGGCUAAGCGUGGAAGCCAUCGAUUAUUGAGCUGUGGCCUGUCGAUGCUUUGGCGUAGGUGAGGAAGAAGAAAGGAAUUGAAACCUGAGUAAACCAACCCGAAGACUUGCUCUUUUCCCUGCUUUUGUUAGGAUUUUGCCUGAAAUUUUC
rnacentral:misc_RNA from 1 species